rnacentral:tRNA from 1 species
GAGGGUAUAGCUCAGUGGCAGAGCACAUGCUUAGCAUGCAUGAGGUCCUGGGUUCAAUCCCCAGUACCUCCA